AUUGAACGCUGGCGGCAUGCUUUACACAUGCAAGUCGAACGGCAGCGCGGGCUUCGGCCUGGCGGCGAGUGGCGAACGGGUGAGUAAUGCAUCGGAACGUGCCCAGUAGUGGGGGAUAGCCCGGCGAAAGCCGGAUUAAUACCGCAUACGACCUGAGGGUGAAAGCGGGGGACCGAAAGGCCUCGCGCUAUUGGAGCGGCCGACGUCGGAUUAGCUAGUUGGUGGGGUAAAGGCUUACCAAGGCGACGAUCCGUAGCUGGUCUGAGAGGACGACCAGCCACACUGGAACUGAGCCACGGCCCAGACUCCUACGGGAGGCAGCAGUGGGGAAUUUUGGACAAUGGGGGCAACCCUGAUCCAGCCAUGCCGCGUGCGGGAAGAAGGCCUUCGGGUUGUAAACCGCUUUUGUUCGGGAAGAAAUCCUCUGGGCUAAUACCCCGGGGGGAUGACGGUACCGGAAGAAUAAGCACCGGCUAACUACGUG
rnacentral:rRNA from 1 species